rnacentral:snoRNA from 1 species
CCCAGCCAGAUCUAAUUAUUAUUAUUAUUAUUAAUUUUUGAUACUGGGGUUUGAACUCAGGGCCUUCACUUUGAGCACCUGCAUAUUCCUACAACUUCUCAGAGUCCUGUGGGCAGUGACUGAGGAGACAAGCCAUGCAGGAAACACUC